GCCACUGUCGCAUAAUCUGGUAGUGCGGCGGUCUCGAAAACCGCUUCCCGAAAGGGUUUCCCGGUUCAAAUCCGGGCGGUGGCG
rnacentral:tRNA from 1 species